GACGAACGCUGGCGGCGUGCUUAACACAUGCAAGUCGAACGGAAAGGCCCUGCUUUUGUGGGGUGCUCGAGUGGCGAACGGGUGAGUAACACGUGAGUAACCUGCCCUUGACUUUGGGAUAACUUCAGGAAACUGGGGCUAAUACCGGAUAGGAGCUCCUGCUGCAUGGUGGGGGUUGGAAAGUUUCGGCGGUUGGGGAUGGACUCGCGGCUUAUCAGCUUGUUGGUGGGGUAGUGGCUUACCAAGGCUUUGACGGGUAGCCGGCCUGAGAGGGUGACCGGCCACAUUGGGACUGAGAUACGGCCCAAACUCCUACGGGAGGCAGCAGGGGGGAAUAAUGCACAAUGGGCGGAAGCCUGAUGCAGCAACGCCGCGUGCGGGAUGACGGCCUUCGGGUUGUAAACCGCUUUCGCCUGUGACGAAGCGUGAGUGACGGUAAUGGGUAAAGAAGCACCGGCUAACUACGUG
rnacentral:rRNA from 1 species